GACGUAGGAGGCGAGCGUUGUCCGGAUUCAUUGGGCGUAAAGAGCACGCAGGCGGUUUGGCAAGUCGGAUGUGAAAACCCGAAGCUCAACUUCGGGCCUGCAUCCGAAACUGCCCGACUAGAGGUAGGUAGGGGAGAUCGGAAUUCCUGGUGUAGCGGUGAAAUGCGCAGAGUAUCAGGAGGAACACCGGUGGCGAAGGCGGGAUCUCUGGGCCGAUACUGACGGCUGAGGAGCGAAAGCGUGGGGAGCGAACAGG
rnacentral:rRNA from 1 species